UCAGAAAAUAACGGGAGAGGUGAAAAUCCAUGAUCGCUAUAAGAUGCACGAGAGCGAAAGCAUUUCACUCAAUUGCGUUCAUUAAUCAAGAACGAAAGUUAGGGGAUCGAAGACGAUCAGAUACCGUCGUAGUCCUAACUAUAAACGAUGUCAACCAAGGAUUGGAUUAGUUUUAGAGGAAGUGUGACUACAAAUCAUUGAUUUGCUGGAACACCGACUCGCUACUACCUCAUUCAGAACUUAAUGAGAAAUCAUGAGUUUAUGGACUUCAGGGGGAGUAUGGUCACAAGGCUGAAACUUAAAGGAAUUGACGGAAGGGCACACCAGGAGUGGAGCCUGCGGCUUAAUUUGACUCAACACGGGAAAACUUACCAAGACCGAACAUUAGUAGGAAUGACAGAUUAAGGGUUCUUUCAUGAUUUGAUGGGUAGUGGUGCAUGGCCGUUCUUAGUUGGUGGAGUGAUUUGUCAGGUUAAUUCCGGUAACGAACGAGACUGAAACCUAUUAAUUAGUUCAAACCCUAUACGGGUUUGAUGUCGCAAGACAGAUGCUCUGCAUCACUUCUUAAAGGGACUCAUAUCAAUUGUUCUCAUGUUAAUUGGAGUCUCUACACCCGUAGAACCCUUUUAGCGGGGAAAAAAGAUAAAGGAAGCAUUCAGCAAUAACAGGUCUGUGAUGCCCUUAGACAUCUUGGGCUGCACGCGCGCUACAAUGGAGUUACUAGCGAGUAAUUGGUAAUUACUUCUUGAGGUGGAACUUCUGUGAAACCUUAGGAAAGUGUUACUAUACCGAGGCUGAGAUAGUAAAGGAAAACU
rnacentral:rRNA from 1 species